rnacentral:rRNA from 1 species
AGUGAACGCUGGCGGUAGGCCUAACACAUGCAAGUCGAACGGCAGCACAGUAAGAGCUUGCUCUUACGGGUGGCGAGUGGCGGACGGGUGAGGAAUACAUCGGAAUCUACUUUUUCGUGGGGGAUAACGUAGGGAAACUUACGCUAAUACCGCAUACGACCUACGGGUGAAAGCAGGGGAACUUCGGACCUUGCGCGAUUGAAUGAGCCGAUGUCGGAUUAGCUAGUUGGCGGGGUAAAGGCCCACCAAGGCGACGAUCCGUAGCUGGUCUGAGAGGAUGAUCGGCCACACUGGAACUGAGACACGGUCCCGACUCCUACGGGAGGCAGCAGUGGGGAAUAUUGGACAAUGGGCGCAUGCCUGAUCCAGCCAUACCGCGUGGGUGAAGAAGGCCUUCGGGUUGUAAAGCCCUUUUGUUGGGAAAGAAAAGCAGCAGGUUAAUACCCCGCUGUUCUGACGGUACCCAAAGAAUAAGCACCGGCUAACUUCGUG